UAUUUUGACUAUACGAAGGUAUUGAAAUAAGGCUUUAAAUGAGUGCUAAGAGAAUGGUUGAACAAUUAUGGGCUUUCUUUAAUUAAUAAAUUGAAUUUAAUGUUUUUGUGAAGAAGCAAAAAUGAUAAUUAGGGACAAGAAGACCCUAUGAAUUUUUAAACUGAAAUUAUUAUUUGUAUGAUUUUUCAGUUUUAAUUGGGGCGAUGAGAAAAGAAUAUUUAUCUUUUUUUUAAUAAGUUAAUUUGAUCCAUUAAUAAUGAUUAAAUGAUUUAAAUACUCUAGGGAUAACAGCGUAAUAAUUUCGGAUAGUUCAUAUAGAUGAAAUAGUUUGCGACCUCGAUGUUGGAUUAGGAUACUUUUUUGGUGGAGAAAUUAAUAUAAAGAAGUUUGUUCAACUUUUAAAAUCC
rnacentral:rRNA from 1 species